AGAGUUUGAUCCUGGCUCAGGACGAACGCUGGCGGCGUGCCUAAUACAUGCAAGUAGAACGCUGAAGUCUGGUGCUUGCACUAGACGGAUGAGUUGCGAACGGGUGAGUAACGCGUAGGUAACCUGCCUCAUAGCGGGGGAUAACUAUUGGAAACGAUAGCUAAUACCGCAUAACAGUAUUAACCGCAUGGUAGAUACUUGAAAGGAGCAAUUGCUUCACUAUGAGAUGGACCUGCGUUGUAUUAGCUAGUUGGUGAGGUAACGGCUCACCAAGGCAUCGAUACAUAGCCGACCUGAGAGGGUGAUCGGCCACACUGGGACUGAGACACGGCCCAGACUCCUACGGGAGGCAGCAGUAGGGAAUCUUCGGCAAUGGGGGCAACCCUGACCGAGCAACGCCGCGUGAGUGAAGAAGGUUUUCGGAUCGUAAAGCUCUGUUGUAAGAGAAGAACUGUGAGAAGAGUGGAAAGUUUCUCAUUUGACGGUAUCUUACCAGAAAGGGACGGCUAACUACGUGCCAGCAGCCGCGGUAAUACGUAGGUCCCGAGCGUUGUCCGGAUUUAUUGGGCGUAAAGCGAGCGCAGGCGGUUUGAUAAGUCUGAAGUAAAAGGCUGUGGCUUAACCAUAGUACGCUUUGGAAACUGUCAAACUUGAGUGCAGAAGGGGAGAGUGGAAUUCCAUGUGUAGCGGUGAAAUGCGUAGAUAUAUGGAGGAACACCGGUGGCGAAAGCGGCUCUCUGGUCUGUAACUGACGCUGAGGCUCGAAAGCGUGGGGAGCGAACAGGAUUAGAUACCCUGGUAGUCCACGCCGUAAACGAUGAGUGCUAGGUGUUGGGUCCUUUCCGGGACUCAGUGCCGCAGCUAACGCAUUAAGCACUCCGCCUGGGGAGUACGACCGCAAGGUUGAAACUCAAAGGAAUUGACGGGGGCCCGCACAAGCGGUGGAGCAUGUGGUUUAAUUCGAAGCAACGCGAAGAACCUUACCAGGUCUUGACAUCCCGAUGACUGCCCUAGAGAUAGGGUUUCUCUUCGGAGCAUCGGUGACAGGUGGUGCAUGGUUGUCGUCAGCUCGUGUCGUGAGAUGUUGGGUUAAGUCCCGCAACGAGCGCAACC
rnacentral:rRNA from 1 species